rnacentral:rRNA from 1 species
CUCAGAGCUGAACGCUGGCGGCAGGCUUAACACAUGCAAGUCGAGCGGGGAAGAGUAGCUUGCUACUUGACCUAGCGGCGGACGGGUGAGUAAUGCUUAGGAAUCUGCCUAUUAGUGGGGGACAACAUCUCGAAAGGGAUGCUAAUACCGCAUACGUCUACGGGAGAAAGCAGGGGACCUUCGGGCCUUGCGCUAAUAGAUGAGCCUAAGUCGGAUUAGCUAGUUGGUGGGGUAAAGGCCUACCAAGGCGACGAUCUGUAGCGGGUCUGAGAGGAUGAUCCGCCACACUGGGACUGAGACACGGCCCAGACUCCUACGGGAGGCAGCAGUGGGGAAUAUUGGACAAUGGGGGGAACCCUGAUCCAGCCAGCCGCGUGUGUGAAGAAGGCCUUUUGGUUGUAAAGCACUUUAAGCGAGGAGGAGGCUACCGAGAUUAAUACUCUAAGGAUAGUGGACGUUACUCGCAGAAUAAGCACCGGCUAACUCUGUGCCAGCAGCCGCGGUAAUACAGAGGGUGCAAGCGUUAAUCGGAUUUACUGGGCGUAAAGCGCGCGUAGGUGGCCAAUUAAGUCAAAUGUGAAAUCCCCGAGCUUAACUUGGGAAUUGCAUUCGAUACUGGUUGGCUAGAGUAUGG